rnacentral:rRNA from 1 species
CCUACGGGAGGCAGCAGUGGGGAAUUUUGGACAAUGGGCGCAAGCCUGAUCCAGCAAUGCCGCGUGAGUGGAGAAGGCCUUCGGGUUGUAAAGCUCUUUUGUCAGGGAAGAAACGGCAGUUUCUAAUACAGAUUGCUAAUGACGGUACCUGAAGAAUAAGCACCGGCUAACUACGUGCCAGCAGCCGCGGUAAUACGUAGGGUGCAAGCGUUAAUCGGAAUUACUGGGCGUAAAGCGUGCGCAGGCGGUUUUGUAAGUUUGUCGUGAAAUCCCCGGGCUCAACCUGGGAAUGGCGAUGAAGACUGCAAGGCUAGAAUCUGGCAGAGGGGGGUAGAAUUCCACGUGUAGCAGUGAAAUGCGUAGAGAUGUGGAGGAACACCGAUGGCGAAGGCAGCCCCCUGGGUCAAGAUUGACGCUCAUGCACGAAAGCGUGGGGAGCAAACAGGAUUAGAUACCCUGGUAGUCCACGCCCUAAACGAUGUCUACUAGUUGUCGGGUUUUAAUUAACUUGGUAACGCAGCUAACGCGUGAAGUAGACCGCCUGGGGAUACGGUCGCAAGAUUAAACNCAAAUGAAUUGACGGNGNGAGAGAGACGAGACGACGACGAGGGAGGAGG